ACUUUUAUGAAUUUGACAGUGAUUGUAAGGUGAUUGACGCAAGGGUUUGACUGCAGCAGUUGAGAGCCGGAGCCGCGGCGCCGGAGUGAUGGCGGCUGGGGGAGAUUCAGUACAAGAAAGAGCUUAAAUGAGCGCGUGAAGCACCGGCAGCGUGGGGGUCCACGCCACCUCAUUCACCCAAGUUAUCGAUACCAAUACCCGCCUUAUAGCGACUAAGCCACUAUGGGAUAACAUUAAUAACAUUACCCUAAGACACGAUAAAGGUUAGGCGUUGAAUGUGAGGUCAUUGUCGUGGGCGACUGUGAAGGCGUGGACAUGAUCACGUUGUAGUGCGUUUGGCAUUUUUUGAAGCUGUAUUAUUAUACAAGAAGAUGUCUCAAGAGCUUGCUAAUCGUGCUGUAUCUACAAAGAGGAAGAGGAGUUUAUCCAUUGAUCAGAAAUUAGACAUAAUAGAGAAACCUGACAUGACUGUUGAUAAGGAUAAGCAUGAUAGCAGGUUACAAUCUGCUACAUGUGCUGAUGCAUUGUUCUAUGUUGAAAAGCUCCUUGAUAUUGUUUCACAAACUGACAAUCCAGAGCUACCAGGCUUUUAUCAUCACCUAAGGAUGAUGAAAGAUAUUUGUCUCGAGGACAUGAGAAAAAGAAGGAAACAAGC